ensembl:lncRNA uncharacterized LOC110070657
GAGGGCAGAAGGGCAACGGGAGCCCGGGAGGAGCCUGCCCAGCGCCUCCCUGAUCCGCCCCCGGGUGGCCAUCCGGUCGGGAGGAGGAGCGGCGGCGGCGGCGGGAGGAGGCGGCCGGAGGCGCCGGAGGGUCUCCAGCCAUGGGCGUGGCCGGCUCGCGAGCGGUGGUCCCCCAGCGGACAUGCGAUCCUGAGACCCAGGAGUUGCUGAAGGAAGAAGGUUGUGAUGAAACCUGCUGCGGACGCUUUCUGCGCCGUAUUCUAAGCUGCCUACGCUACGUACUGAACUGUCUCUGCUGUUUCAUAUGCUCUCUAUGCUGUGGAAAUGGAGCUGCUUCGAAGGACUUCAUCAUCUACGUCCAGACCACGGGUGCCACAGGUGGCUGGGAAUGGAAUUUCGUAAAUGAGGUCUCAAAGCACCUGCCAGCGUGCCUGUCCUGCUCUCUGAAGGUGGAGAAGUUCAGGGAGACCGCCUCGAAGCACCCCAUCCUGCUCUUCUGCCCCAUAGCUUCCCGCAUGGGCACCGACAUCGAAAAUGCCCUCGAGGGAGUCAUCGGUGAGCAGAAGGUCCUCCUGGUGGUGAUGCAUUUUAUCCCAAAGGACAACCCAAUGGCUUAUGUGGACGCCAGGCAGCAGGGGCGGUAUCCGGCGGUGGUCCUGACCGUGAAUACUCGCUACACCCUCCAGGAUGGCUUCUACCCGUGCGAGAUGAACGAGACGGCCGUGGCUGACGUGGCAGCUGCCAUCCAGGACCUCGCUAAAGAUCAUGGAUGGGGGACCUGCUGCUCCCCUUAAGUGGUGCCGUAGAGGGGCUGUUGAGACACUGUUGGGGAUUGCUGCAGUGCAUGCUGGGAAUGGAUGGACUCAGCGCAUGGGGUGUGUGUAGGGUGAUGGGCUUCCCCUGGAUUCUUGCGUGGGUGGGUAGGUGGGAUUCACACUCCUCCCCAGCCAUGUGGCAGCAAACUGCCUCGAGCUGGGGAGAAGGCUAGUUGUCCCUCUGGGCAUGCACAGACCUGCCCUGAACCUCAGGCUGACCGGGCAGAGCCGGGCAGGCAGUGACCUGGCGUGUUCCUCUGUGCAUGUCGAGGGAGGGGGGGUGAAUGGCUAGGGUGGGUGGGUUUUCUGCUCUCCUUCUUUGCUUUUACACACCCACUGGGUGAUUUAAAACAGGAGUUGGGGGCAGGGAGAUCUGCCGUGUUUCCCCAAAACUAAGGCAGGAUCUUUAAUAUAAUUCUUCUUCCCAAAAAAAAGAAUUAGGGCUUAUUUUCAGGGGAUGCUUCAUUUUUUUCAUGUACAACCAUCUACAUUGAUUCUAAUACAGUCCUGUCCUCUUCUUCUGGUUGCUGCACAAGGGUGGGGGGCAGGCUUUCAAUUCACAGGGGCUUAAUUUUGGGGUAGGGCUUAUAUUACGGGCAUCCAACAGGGUGGAGGGGCGAGAAGAACAAAGUUUGCCCCCGAAAUAAUGGGGGGGUCUCUGUCUUUUCCAGGGCUGGGGAAAUUAUACUGUUUUUAUUUGCUUACAGCCCCCUCCAGAAUCCCCCCACCCAGCAUGCCUUACCUAGAAGAUGUCCGUGUCUAAGGAUGCUCUCCUAAUCAAACCCCCCCAAUCGUGAUCCCCCCAAGGGGGUUGCAAAGUGUUUUGGGGGGACAGAGGUGCUCCUGGGCAGUCGAAAGGCAGAUCAUGGAAUAGGGGUGCAGCCUGUGCUGGAUGGGGUGAGCCUCUCCCUGAAAAGUCAGGUGCACAGCUUAGGGGAUGUUCCUGGAUUGAUCCCUGAACCUCAGUGCCCAGGGUUCAGUGGUGUUCAGGAGUGCUUUUCCACAAUUAAAACUAGUGUACCUGGAAGGUUCUGAUCUGGCCACGGGGACACACGCCUUCGUUCCCUCCCGGCUGGAUUCUUGUAAUGCACCCUGCGUGGGGGCUGCCGAUGGAAAGGGUCAGGAAACUCCAGAGGGGAGCCUAAACGCGGCAGCCAGAUGGCUGACUGGGGCUGAUCAAGGGAUCACGUAACCACCCCAGCCGGAUGCAGCUGCGCCACCACCUGCUGAUCCAUUUCUGGGAUGAAUUCAAGGUGUUGGUUUUAACCUAUAAACUCCUAAAAACUUUGCACCAGACUCUUUCAAGGACCACCUCUUCCUUGAUGAGCCUGCUCCAGUGUUACGAUCACCAGGAAGUAGCCUUCCUCAUCAUCCUGCCACAUUAACAGAUGUGUUUGGUGGGGCCACAGGAGAGAGGACCUUCCCUGUCGCUCCUCCUUUAGACUCUGGAACUCCCUCCCACUGGAGGCUAGACCUGCCCUGUCUUGGAUGACCUUCUGCAAGCAGGCAAAGACCUUCCUCUUCAGAUGAGCCAUCUCUCAAUAACUAGACACGUGUGUUUUUUAAGAGGAUUGAUACUGUGGUUUUUUUUUUCCAUUUUUGGGUUUUCCAUCUCUCUCUGGACUUUUUCCCCCUCUAUUUAAAAUUUGUAUGCCUCUUGCGCCUUUGUUUUGAUCUUGCCUUUUAAUGAUGUAACCUGCCCCUUUAUAUUCAUGGUUCCUGGCUUUAAAUAUUGCCUUUUAAGGAUGUGAAGCCUCCUUGUGUACUUAUUGUUUUAAACUUUACAUAUUGUCUCGCAUUGUUGUAAGCCCCCUUGGGUCCUUUUCGAGGUGAAGGGCAUGGUAAAAAUAUUCUAAGCAAAUAAAUAAAUUGAUGAAUGGCUGUUUUUUGUUGGA